rnacentral:rRNA from 1 species
GGGUGAAAGCCCCGUAGUCGAAAACAUUGAUCACCCUAAUGGUAUCCCAAGUAGGACGGGACACGUGAAACCCUGUCUGAAUCUGGGGGGCCCACCCUCCAAGGCUAAGUACUCCGUGAUGACCGAUAGUGAACUAGUACCGCGAGGGAAAGGUGAAAAGAACCCCUGUUAGGGGAGUGAAAUAGACCUGAAAUCGUAUGCCCACAAGCUAUGGGAGUCGUGACUUGUCACGAUGACCGUUUGCCUUUUGCAUAAUGAGUCCGCGAGUCACCCUAUGUGGCAAGGUUAACCGAAAGGGGAGCCGUAGCGAAAGCGAGUCUGAACAGGGCGAGCAAGUCGCAUGGGGUGGACCCGAAGCCCGGUGAGCUACCCAUGAGCAGGUUGAAGCUUCUGUAACAGGAAGUGGAGGACCGAACCAGUGUCCGUUGAAAAGGGCUUGGAUGACUUGUGGGUUGGAGCGAAAGACUUAUCAAACCGGGUGAUAGCUGGUUCUCCUCGAAAUGCCUUUAGGGGCAGCCUCCAAUAAUGCAACACGCGGGGGUAGAGCACUGAUUGGUCUAGGGGCCCCUACCGGGUUACCGAAACUUGUCAAACUCCGAAUACCGCGUGCGUCAGUUGGGGAGUGAGACUGUGGGGGCUAAGCUUCACAGUCGAAAGGGAAACAGCCCAGACCGCCAAUUAAGGCCCCUAAACAUAGUUCAGUCACUAAGGAUGUGGGGUUGCACAGACAGCCAGGAUGUUGGCUUAGAGGCAGCCAUCAUUUAAACAGUGCGUAACAGCUGACUGGUCGAGUGAUCCUGCGCCGAAAAUGAUCGGGAGUAAACUAUGUGCCGAAAUUGCGGAUCGAGAGAUGGUAGAGGAGCGUACUCUGACGGGUUGAAGCCAUACGCGUAAGCGGUGGUGGACUUCAGAGUAGUGAUUAUGCGGACAUGAGUAACGAAAAACCAGGUGAGAAUCCUGGUCGCCGGAAUCCCAAGGUUUCCUGGGGCAGGUUCGUCCGCCCAGGGUUAGUCGGACCCUAAGCCGAGGCCGAAAGGCGUAGGCGAUGGACAUACGGUUAAUAUUCCGUAACUUCCGGUAAGAGUUUGAGCGAUGGAGAACGGGGAAAGCUAGCGCAGAGUACUGAUGGAAUAGUGCUUUCAAGUGCGUAGGAAGAGACUUCAGGAAAAUCCGGAGUCUUAAUUCUGAAACAUGAGGGAGGGACUUCUUCGGAAGACCCGAUUGCGUGAUGCUCAGCCUCCAAGAAAAACUUCUAGUGAUCAAACCGGAAUCCGUACCAAAACCGACACAGGUAGGAGGGUACAAAUAUACCAAGGCGCGCGAGAGAAACCUCGUUAAGGAACUCGGCAAUCUAGCCCCGUAACUUCGGGAGAAGGGGUCCCUGGUGUAAACCAGGGCGCAGUGAACGGGCCCAUGCGACUGUUUAACAAAAACAUAGCACUCUGCAAACAUUAACGUGGAAGUAUAGAGUGUGACACGUGACCAAUGCGGAAAGGUCAAGGCAAGAUGUUAUCCCUUUUAUUAGAGGAGAAGCUUCGAACCAAAGCCCCCGUGAAUGUCGGCCGUAACUAUAACGGUCCUAAGGUAGCGAAAUUCCUUGUCGGGUAAGUUCCGACCUGCACGAAUCGUGUAACGAUAUGGGCGCUGUCUCAACGAGGAUCUCGGUGAAGUUGUAAUACCGGUGAAAAUGCCGGUUUCCCGCAGAAGGACGGAAAGACCCCGUGAACCUUUACUGUAAUCUGGUACUGGAUCUUGGGCAU